rnacentral:rRNA from 1 species
GAUGAACGCUGGCGGCGUGCCUAAUACAUGCAAGUCGAGCGAACAGACGAGGAGCUUGCUCCUUUGCCGUUAGCGGCGGACGGGUGAGUAACACGUAGGUAACCUACCUAUAAGACUGGGAUAACUUCGGGAAACCGGAGCUAAUACCGGAUAAUAUUUCGAACCGCAUGGUUCGAUAGUGAAAGAUGGCUUUGCUGUCACUUAUAGACGGACCUGCGCCGUAUUAGCUAGUUGGUAAGGUAACGGCUUACCAAGGCAACGAUCCGUAGCCGACCUGAGAGGGUGAUCGGCCACACUGGAACUGAGACACGGUCCAGACUCCUACGGGAGGCAGCAGUAGGGAAUAUUCCGCAAUGGGCGAAGGCCUGACGGAGCAACGCCGCGUGAGUGAUGAAGGUCUUCGGAUCGUAAAACUCUGUUAUUAGGGAAGAACAAACGUGUAAGUAACUGUGCACGUCUUGACGGUACCUAAUCAGAAAGCCACGGCUAACUACGUG